GGCUAAGCUGCAGAAAGUGAAAUCUGUUAGUCUUCACCACUCACAUAUCCAAGCAGCAGUAUUUUUCCAAGACUAUGAUAUAAACGGAGUUCCAAAUCAAGGUCAGCAAAGGUGGAGAAGAUGCAGACACAUUCCAGAUCGCACUCAUUCCUGUGAUUGGAGCAGGCACUCACAAAAUGCUCUGU
rnacentral:lncRNA from 1 species